rnacentral:rRNA from 1 species
UACGUAGGUGGCAAGCGUCGUCCGGAUUUAUUGGGUUUAAAGGGUGCGUAGGCGGUCUUAUAAGUCAGUGGUGAAAUACGGCAGCUCAACUGUCGAGGUGCCAUUGAUACUGUAGGACUUGAGUACAGACGAGGUAGGCGGAAUUGACGGUGUAGCGGUGAAAUGCUUAGAUAUCGUCAAGAACACCGAUAGCGAAGGCAGCUUACUAGGCUGUAACUGACGCUGAGGCACGAAAGUGUGGGGAUCAAACAGG